UAUUGCACAAUGGGGGAAACCCUGAUGCAGCAACGCCGCGUGAGUGAAGAAGUAUUUCGGUAUGUAAAGCUCUAUCAGCAGGGAAGAAGAAAACGACGGUACCUGACGAAGAAGCUCCGGCUAACUACGUGCCAGCAGCCGCGGUAAUACGUAGGGGGCAAGCGUUAUCCGGAUUUACUGGGUGUAAAGGGAGCGUAGGCGGUUUAGCAAGUCAGAAGUGAAAGCCCGGGGCUCAACUCCGGGACUGCUUUUGAAACUGUUGAACUAGAUUGCAGGAGAGGUAAGUGGAAUUCCUAGUGUAGCGGUGAAAUGCGUAGAUAUUAGGAGGAACACCAGUGGCGAAGGCGGCUUACUGGACUGUAAAUGACGCUGAGGCUCGAAAGCGUGGGGAGCAAACAG
rnacentral:rRNA from 1 species